CCUACGGGUGGCAGCAGUGGGGAAUAUUGGACAAUGGGGGGAACCCUGAUCCAGCCAUGCCGCGUGUGUGAAGAAGGCCCUCGGGUUGUAAAGCACUUUCAGUGAGGAAGAACGCCUGGUGGUUAAUACCCAUCAGGAAAGACAUCACUCACAGAAGAAGCACCGGCUAACUCCGUGCCAGUAGCCGCGGUAAUACGGAGGGUGCGAGCGUUAAUCGGAAUUACUGGGCGUAAAGCGCGCGUAGGUGGCUUGAUAAGCCGGUUGUGAAAGCCCCGGGCUCAACCUGGGAACGGCAUCCGGAACUGUCAAGCUAGAGUGCAGGAGAGGAAGGUAGAAUUCCCGGUGUAGCGGUGAAAUGCGUAGAGAUCGGGAGGAAUACCAGUGGCGAAGGCGGCCUUCUGGACUGACACUGACACUGAGGUGCGAAAGCGUGGGUAGCAAACAGGAUUAGAUACCCCUGUAGUC
rnacentral:rRNA from 1 species